UACAGAGGUCCCAAGCGUUGUUCGGAUUCAUUGGGCGUAAAGGGUGCGUAGGCGGCGCGGUAAGUCGGGUGUGAAAUCUCGGGGCUUAACUCCGAAACUGCAUUCGAUACUGCCGUGCUUGAGGACUGGAGAGGAGACUGGAAUUUACGGUGUAGCGGUGAAAUGCGUAGAUAUCGGGAGGAACACCAGUGGCGAAGGCGACUUCCUGGCCUGUUCUUGACGCUGAGGCGCGAAAGCUGGGGGAGCAAACGGG
rnacentral:rRNA from 1 species